UACCAGCACCCCGAGUGGUCGGGACGUUUAUUGGGCCUAAAGCAUCCGUAGCCGGUUCUACAAGUCUUCCGUUAAAUCCACCUGCUUAACAGAUGGGCUGCGGAAGAUACUAUAGAGCUAGGAGGCGGGAGAGGCAAGCGGUACUCGAUGAGUAGGGGUAAAAUCCGUUGAUCCAUUGAAGACCACCAGUGGCGAAGGCGGCUUGCCAGAACGCGCUCGACGGUGAGGGAUGAAAGCUGGGGGAGCAAACCGG
rnacentral:rRNA from 1 species